rnacentral:lncRNA from 1 species
CAAGUCCAACUGAUCUAACAACCAACAGGUCACAUGCCCUCAGCACAAUCUGACGCCAAAACGACAUUAUGGGUUCACCGUCAACUCAGACGACACCCAACAGUCCGGAACAAUCUGAACGCUACUGUAAAAAUACACUCGGCAUCACAACACGAGUGUAACAGAAAAAUAAACUACCUGGGGUAUUCACCACGCUGAUACUGCGGCGAUACAAAAUAACAACGGCUCCUAGAGUUAAAUCAGAUAGUUUAAGCAUGUGACAGGUUCGAAUCGCAGGUUUUCUCCUAAGUCAAAU